ACGAACGCUGGCGGCGUGCUUAACACAUGCAAGUCGAACGGAAAGGCCCUGCUUUUGUGGGGUGCUCGAGUGGCGAACGGGUGAGUAACACGUGAGUAACCUGCCCUUGACUUUGGGAUAACUGCAGGAAACUGGGGCUAAUACCGGAUAGGAGCUCCUGCUGCAUGGUGGGGGUUGGAAAGUUUCGGCGGUUGGGGAUGGACUCGCGGCUUAUCAGCUUGUUGGUGGGGUAGUGGCUUACCAAGGCUUUGACGGGUAGCCGGCCUGAGAGGGUGACCGGCCACAUUGGGACUGAGAUACGGCCCAGACUCCUACGGGAGGCAGCAGUGGGGAAUAUUGCACAAUGGGCGGAAGCCUGAUGCAGCAACGCCGCGUGCGGGAUGACGGCCCUCGGGUUGUAAACCGCUUUCGCCUGUGACGAAGCGUGAGUGACGGUAAUGGGUAAAGAAGCACCGGCUAACUACGUG
rnacentral:rRNA from 1 species